rnacentral:lncRNA from 1 species
UUUAGAGACCAGAGUACUUUAUUAUAUAUUAUGCAAAAAGCAAUCACAGUCCAUUUUGUUUCCAGUUCUGAUUGACUAAGGAAUCAACAAAAAAUUAGAAUAAGACAGAGAUCUUCUGUGUACUAUGAAAGGACAGCGAACGCCUUGCUCUUUCCAGCCUACCUCCCAUGCCCCUAACGCUGGGGUCGAUCCCUUAGUCCCAUCCCCACGCUUCCUUUCUGUAACAAGGUAACUCCCCCUCGCAGCUCUCCCUCUCCCUAUUCAACCUCCAGCCUAUCCUAUCUGCCGCCCGUUCACAUGGCAGGUCUCUCGCCAAACCACUGCGAGGAAAUAAAAGUGCCUCGCGCCCUGAAACGCGGCUUUCCCCUCCUUAACAACACGCACGCAGUGGGAACGCCUUGUAACAGGGAUCCCGGCUCGACCGCUCUCCAGUAGGGCGAGGAGGGAACUGAGAGAAUGAGGGGACAGAGACGGGGGCCCAAAUACCCCCUCAGCGCCCGGCCCAUGCGGGAACGCGAGCUGCGGCGUCGCUCAGGGAACGCUCUUGGCCGUUGCAACCGCCGCGGCGGUCCUGACCACGCUCGCCUCCAUUUUACUCAGGAGACGAGAUCUCCCCUCGCCCGCCCCUGAGACCGGCCGGAGGCCCCGGGCCGAGCCAGGCCCAGCUCUCGCCCGGGCCCUCCCCAGCGCAGGCCUCUAGCGGCGCCGCACCGGGCCCGCGCGGCCCAGAGCCGGAAGCCGAGCGGCGCGUUGAGGGGGGAGCGAUGGCGGCCUCCCGUGACCCCCCCCGCCCCGGCCCCUCAAUGGCCACCCGGCCCGCGCCCCCUUCCCCUCACUCCCACUCCCCGGCUCCCACCUCCUGGUUGAAGGCGUUCACGGCCUCCAUGUUGGCGGCGGCGGCGGCGGCUGAUGCGGGCGGGCGGGCGGGCGGGCGCCCGCGCGGGGGAGGGAAGGAAGGGGACGGGCGGAGGAGGAGCGGCAGCGCGGUCCCGCUCAGCGGCUGCGCGCGGACAUGGCCGUUCGGCGGCGGCGGGGCUCGCGCUCUCCGCUGUCCCCUCACGCCCUCGCUAACUCGCUCGGUUGCGGCGUCUCGCUGGCAGGGCCCCGGCACAGACCGUCUCUCCCAGCGGGAUGGCGGAGCCCACGCCGCGCACAGC